CUGGUGCCAGCAGCCGCGGUAAUUCCAGCUCCAAUAGCGUAUAUUAAAGUUGUUGCAGUUAAAAAGCUCGUAGUUGAAUUUCGGGGUUAGUAGGUUGGUCGUGCCACUGGUAUGUACUGGUUUUACUGAUUCCUCCUUUCUGAAGAACCGUAAUGCCAUUAAUUUGGUGUUGCGGGGAAUCAGGACUGUUACUUUGAAAAAAUUA
rnacentral:rRNA from 1 species